GGGGGCGACUAGUUUUGACAGAUAACUCUGAGGCUUGCUUGCAGGUAGCGGUUGGCCAGGCCGCUUUAAAUAGGGCCACAACAAUAGUUGGCAACAACUACAACAACAACGUUUGGGCUACUGCCUAAACCCGAAGCUUUUGUACUGACGGUAUACAAAAGCAAUCGGUCAAGAAUCCGUCUGCUGCGGGAAAGGUUCGUUUAGCCUAGUCCCGCUUAAGAUAAAUUAAACAAGUAAAGCCGCAGCGGCCUUGGGCAAGCAGCUUUACUAAAAAACCAAGGCUAAACCUGUAGUAAGUAAGUUAUAAGGUUGUUUGGACGCGGGUGCGAAUCCCGCCGCCUCCACU
rnacentral:tmRNA from 1 species